AUAAUACUCCAUCCGUCCCAAAAUAAGUGACUCAAAAAUAACUCAAUUUUAUAUUAGAAUUAGUGUAAAUUGGAGUCACUUUUGAGUCACUUAUUUUGGGACGGAGGGAGUAUAUA
rnacentral:pre_miRNA from 1 species